UGAGUUUGUAGUAGAUCCGGCACUUACUUUAAGCUUUUGGCCUGGAUAAAUAAAAUCGGAUUUUAAGUUGUUCCAAGCUUUUAGGUUCGC
rnacentral:tRNA from 1 species